GGGAAAUUCUGGAAUGUUUUGAUUUUAAGGC
rnacentral:piRNA from 1 species